rnacentral:rRNA from 1 species
AGCGAACGCUGGCGGCAGGCCUAACACAUGCAAGUCGAACGGAUCCUUCGGGAUUAGUGGCGGACGGGUGAGUAACACGUGGGAACGUGCCCUUUGGUUCGGAACAACUCAGGGAAACUUGAGCUAAUACCGGAUGUGCCCUUCGGGGGAAAGAUUUAUCGCCAUUGGAGCGGCCCGCGUCUGAUUAGCCAGUUGGUGGGGUAAAGGCCCACCAAGGCGACGAUCAGUAGCUGGUCUGAGAGGAUGAUCAGCCACAUUGGGACUGAGACACGGCUCAAAGGCCUACGGGAGGCAGCAGUGGGGAAUCUUGCGCAAUGGGCGAAAGCCUGACGCAGCCAUGCCGCGUGAAUGAUGAAGGUCUUAGGAUUGUAAAAUUCUUUCACCGGGGACGAUAAUGACGGUGCCCGAGGAAGAAGCCCCGGCUAACUUCGUGCCAGCCGCCGCGGUAA